CUAUGGAUCUACCUAUAAAGUUUAGAGAGGGAGACAUUUCUACUGAACAAAGGUACAAGGACAAGGUAGCACGUCCGGUGAACAGGUCAGGGUUCCACAACCUCAGGCAGACCAGCGGAAACUGGAUCAGCAGCAUGAAAAGCCCAAUCAAGCAGGAGAGACCAGCCUCCCCUGUACCCAGCUGUGUGUCCAUGAAGAGUGACCGGUCUAUGAGUCAACCUAUACGGUUUAGAGAGGGAGACUUUUCUACUGAACAAAGAAACCAACAGGAGAGAUCAGAGUCAGAGAUUCUCAGUGGUCAGUCUUCCC